UGAUACUGUGGCACCCAGCUCAACAUUCUGCAAGGUCUACACACUGACUCCCUUCCUGGCAAACAACAGAGAGAAGCGGGGGCUUGCCCUCGACGGGAAGCUCAAGCAUGAAGACACAAAUCUGGCUUCCAGCACUCUGUAAGAACUCACCUCUAAGUCCCGGACCCUAGUGCCCACUCCACCACGGGCCCCACCCUCUUGGCCCACCACUCCGAGGAUGAGGUUUAGGCUUGUUUCCAAGUCUUGACUAGGGCCAGCCCCCUGAAGUGUGGCUAGCCCGGGAGGCUCUUUCCCUACUCCCCCUGGGUCCCAACAUUUGGGGGAUACAACUGGACAAGCUUUCUGCAGGAAUUGGGUGCUCUUGACCCAAAGUCCUGAAUACAGAUUGGGUGUGUCCCUGUU
rnacentral:lncRNA from 1 species